rnacentral:sRNA from 1 species
GAUGCCAGGGGCAAAAGCCUGAAACUACGAUGUGCUUGCACAGGAGUGGUUUUAUGGCUUAAUGCCCCGCCCGACGUGAGCAUAAAAGUGAAGCGGAAGCUUCACGAUAUGCGAAUGGCGGGUGCUAUGUGCCAGUGGCACAUGUUUAGCACCGACCGAAGCGGAGCGUAGAAGAAUUGUGGGAGUACGAAGUACGGAACAAUUCGUAUG